rnacentral:rRNA from 1 species
AUUGAACGCUGGCGGCAGGCCUAACACAUGCAAGUCGAACGAGUGGCGGACUGGUGAGUAAUGUAUGGGAACCUGCCCGAUGGAGGGGGAUAACUACUGGAAACGGUAGCUAAUACCGCAUACCAUCGGAUGUGCCCAGAUGGGAUUGGCUAGUAGGUGGGGUAAAGGCUCACCAAGGCGACGAUCCCUAGCUGGGCUGAGAGGAUGACCGGCCACACUGGAACUGAGACACGGCCCAGACUCCUACGGGAGGCAGCAGUGGGGAAUAUUGCACAAUGGACGAAAGCCUGAUGCAGCCAUGCCGCGUGUAUGAAGAAGGCUUUCGGGUUGUAAAGUACUUUCAGCGGUGAAGCGUUACCCGCAGAAGAAGCAACGGCUAACUCCGUGCCAGCAGCCGCGGUAAUAC